UACGGGGGGAGCAAACGUUGUUCGGAAUUACUGGGCGUAAAGGGCUCGUAGGCGGCCAACUAAGUCAUACGUGAAAUCCCUCAGCUUAACUGGGGAACUGCGUGUGAUACUGGCAGGCUGGAAUCCGGGAGAGGGAUGUGGAAUUCCAGGUGUAGCGGUGAAAUGCGUAGAUAUCUGGAGGAACACCGGUGGCGAAGGCGGCAUCCUGGACCGGUAUUGACGCUGAGGCGCGAAAGCUAGGGGAGCAAACGGG
rnacentral:rRNA from 1 species